rnacentral:rRNA from 1 species
GGCUCAGAACGAACGCUGGCGGCGUGGAUGAGGCAUGCAAGUCGAACGGAAUUGGGGCGGUAGCAAUAUUGCACCAAUUUAGUGGCGAAAGGGUGAGUAACGCGUGGGCAACCUGCCUUCAUGUUAGGAAUAGCCUGGGGAAACUCGGGAUAAUACCGAAUGUUGUAGUCCGGCGCAUGCUGGACGAUCAAAAGCCGGGGACCGCAAGGCCUGGCGCAUGAAGAUGGGCCCACGUCCUAUCAGCUAGUUGGUGAGGUAACGGCUCACCAAGGCUUACGGGUAGCUGGUCUGAGAGGAUGGUCAGCCACACUGGGACUGAGACACUGCCCAGACUCCUACGGGAGGCUGCAGUCGAGAAUCAUUCGCAAUGGGCGAAAGCCUGACGAUGCGACGCCGCGUGCAGGAUGAAGGUCUUCGGAUUGUAAACUGCUGUUAUGGGGGAUCAAUGCGUAGCGUGAUAAAACCACGCGACGUUGAUAGUACUCCAAGAGGAAGCCACGGCUAACUCUGUGCCAGCAGCCGCGGUAAUACAGAGGUGGCAAGCGUUGUUCGGAUUUACUGGGCGUAAAGGGUGCGUAGGCGGCCGCGUGUGUCGGGUGUGAAAUCCCACGGAUCAUCCGUGGAACUGCAUUCGAAACUGCGCGGCUGGAGUGCAGGAUGGGAAGGCGGAAUUCUCGGUGUAGCGGUGAAAUGCGUUGAUAUCGAGAGGAACGCCGGAGGCGAAGGCGGCCUUCUGGACUGCAACUGACGCUGAGGCACGAAAGCUAGGGGAGCAAACAGGAUUAGAUACCCUGGUAGUCCUAGCCGUAAACGGUGUGCACUUGACGUGGGAGGAAUUAUCCCCUCCCGUGUCGAAGCUAACGCGAUAAGUGCACCGCCUGGGAAAGUACGGUCGCAAGACUAA